CCACUGCUCGCUUGGUAAAGCACAAGGCUCUUAACCUUGUGGAUGUGGGUUCAAGCCCCAUGAUGGGGG
rnacentral:tRNA from 1 species